AACUUAUUAAGAGAAGUUGAGGGAUUUGGCCCGUUGACGCUUCAGCAACCACUUUUAACAAAGUACGGUGCUACUACCAACGAUUGAUGUCGAAUGAUAAGUC
rnacentral:ncRNA from 1 species